GUAAGAAGAGGACAGGAAAUGCUGCAAUAGACAUGAGGGCACCGAGGCCGUGGGUGUGCCGUCCAGGUCCCCCUUCAGGACAGAGAUUCCACAGCAGUCCAGAGAGAAGAGGACCCAGCCAACGUUUGAAGGUGCA